rnacentral:rRNA from 1 species
GACAGAGGAUGCAAGCGUUAUCCGGAGUGAUUGGGCGUAAAGCGUCUGUAGGUGGCUUUUCAAGUCCGCCGUCAAAUCCCAGGGCUCAACCCUGGACAGGCGGUGGAAACUACCAAGCUGGAGUACGGUAGGGGCAGAGGGAAUUUCCGGUGGAGCGGUGAAAUGCGCAGAUAUCAGGAGGAACACCGGUGGCGAAGGCGGGUCUCUGGGCAGUAACUGACGCUGAGGAGCGAAAGCGUGGGGAGCGAACAGG